rnacentral:rRNA from 1 species
UACGGAGGGGGCAAGCGUUGUUCGGAAUUACUGGGCGUAAAGGGCUCGUAGGCGGCCAACUAAGUCCGACGUGAAAUCCCCAGGCUUAACCUGGGAACUGCGUCGGAUAAUGGAUGGCUUGAAUUCGGGAGAGGGAUGCAGAAUUCCAGGUGUAGCGGUGAAAUGCGUAGAUAUCGGGAGGAACACCGGUGGCGCAAGCGGCUGACUGGCCGAGACCUGACGCUGAGACGCGACGGCGUGGGGAGCAAACCGG